rnacentral:misc_RNA from 1 species
UUUGUUGCGUGAUGGGUUGGCUUUGAAGUUUGAGACUGAGUUAAAAUCUCUGCGAUGCACCGCAGAUAUCUGCAGCCAGCAGCAGGAACAGGCUGCAGUUGCACCGGUGGGUGAAAGAUGAUACUGAUUCUGAUUGAUUUUCCCUUUGCUUGGCUUAGCCUUCUUGAUAUGGAUAAAGCGUAUGUCAGUGGAGAACGUGGCUAGGGUUGUGCUGGCCAGUUUUCUUUUUCAGAGAGAGAUGCUUUCCUUUAUCCAGUACGUUCUUAAAAGUUGAAAGCUCUCUUCCAAAACCCAC